UAGGACAGUCUCUUGAACUCCUGUCAAGACCUCUGUUUAUUCCCCCUGGCUUAUUCUGAUAACCCCCCUAAGGAGUGGAGGGAAUCUGAGACUGGUACUUCUCAGCUAGAAUGCAGAGAGCUGUGUGGGAACCAGGAACCUUGCCUACAGAGGGGCCCACGGAACAAUCCUUUGUCCAGGGACAUAAAAGUGGUGGGAUGAUGUGGACCCACAUGUGAA